rnacentral:rRNA from 1 species
UACGAAGGGGGCUAGCGUUGUUCGGAUUUACUGGGCGUAAAGCGCACGUAGGCGGAUCGUUAAGUCGGGGGUGAAAUCCUGGAGCUCAACUCCAGAACUGCCUUCGAUACUGGCGAUCUUGAGUCCGGAAGAGGUGAGUGGAACUCCUAGUGUAGAGGUGGAAUUCGUAGAUAUCAGGAAGAACACCCGUGGCGAAGGCGGCUCUCUGGGACGGUACUGACGCUGAGACGCGAAAGCGUGGGGAGCGAACAGG